UACGUAGGGGGCUAGCGUUGUCCGGAAUCAUUGGGCGUAAAGCGCGUGUAGGCGGCCCGGUAAGUCCGCUGUGAAAGUCGGGGGCUCAACCCUCGGAUGCCGGUGGAUACUGUCGGGCUCGAGUACGGAAGAGGCGAGUGGAAUUCCUGGUGUAGCGGCGAAAUGCGCAGAUAUCAGGAGGAACACCAAUUGCGAAGGCAGCUCGCUGGGACGUUACUGACGCUGAGACGCGAAAGCGUGGGGAGCAAACAGG
rnacentral:rRNA from 1 species